AAUGAACGUUGGCGGCAGGCCUAACACAUGCAAGUCGAACGGAUCCUUCGGGAUUAGUGGCGGACGGGUGAGUAACGCGUGGGAACAUACCCUUUGGUACGGAAUAGCCUCGGGAAACUGGGAGUAAUACCGUAUGUGGUCGAGAGACGAAAGAUUUAUCGCCAAAGGAUUGGCCCGCGUUGGAUUAGGUAGUUGGUGGGGUAAUGACCUACCAAGCCGACGAUCCAUAGCUGGUUUGAGAGGAUGAUCAGCCACACUGGGACUGAGACACGGCCCAGACUCCUACGGGAGGCAGCAGUGGGGAAUCUUAGACAAUGGGGGAAACCCUGAUCUAGCCAUGCCGCGUGAUCGAUGAAGGCCUUAGGGUUGUAAAGAUCUUUCAGGUGGGAAGAUAAUGACUGUACCACCAGAAGAAGCCCCGGCUAACUCCGUGCCAGCCGCCGCGGUAA
rnacentral:rRNA from 1 species